CCUACGGGUGGCAGCAGUGGGGGAUAUUGCUCAAUGGGCGAAACCCUGAUGCAGCGACGCCGCGUGGGCGAAGAAGUAUCUCGGUAUGUAAAGCCCUUUUUGCAGGGAAGAAGAAAUGACGGUACCUGAGUAUGAAGCACUGGCUAAAGACGAGGCAGCAGCCGCGGGCAUACGUAUGGUGCAAGCGUUAGUCGGAAGUCCUGGGUGGAAAGGGAGCGCAGGCGGCACGGCAAGCCUGAUGUGAAAGCUAGCGGACCAACCGGGGGACUGCAUUGGAAACUACCGGGCUGGAGUGCCGGAGAGGUAGGCGGAAUGCCUGGUGUAGCGGUGAAAUGCGUAGAUAUUAGGAGGAACCCCAGUGGCGAAGGCGGCCUACUGGACGGUGACUGACGCUGAGGCUCGAAAGCGUGGGGAGCAAACAGGAUUAGAUACCCCAGUAGUC
rnacentral:rRNA from 1 species